rnacentral:rRNA from 1 species
GUACACUCCUACGGGAGGCAGCAGUGGGGAAUUUUGGACAAUGGGCGAAAGCCUGAUCCAGCAAUGCCGCGUGAGUGAAGAAGGCCUUCGGGUUGUAAAGCUCUUUUGUCAGGGAAGAAACGGUGAGAGCUAAUAUCUUUUGCUAAUGACGGUACCUGAAGAAUAAGCACCGGCUAACUACGUGCCAGCAGCCGCGGUAAUACGUAGGGUGCAAGCGUUAAUCGGAAUUACUGGGCGUAAAGCGUGCGCAGGCGGUUUUGUAAGUCUGAUGUGAAAUCCCCGGGCUCAACCUGGGAAUUGCAUUGGAGACUGCAAGGCUAUAAUCUGGCAGAGGGGGGUAGAAUUCCACGUGUAGCAGUGAAAUGCGUAGAUAUGUGGAGGAACACCGAUGGCGAAGGCAGCCCCCUGGGUCAAGAUUGACGCUCAUGCACGAAAGCGUGGGGAGCAAACAGGAUUAGAAACCCGGGUAGUCCC